ensembl:snRNA
GUGUUGUAUGAAUGGAGAGAAGGUAAGCACUCCCCCUGACAAGGGUAGAAGAGGCCCUUGGGCCUUACAACCCACAUGCAGUUAAGGCAUUGCCACCUAUUUUAAUGGAAUUAGUUUUCAAUUCCA